CGACGUGUAGCUCACUAGUCAGAGCGCCGGGCUGUUACCCGGAGGGAGCAGGGGCGGAACCUGCCACGUCGACCA
rnacentral:tRNA from 1 species